UUUCCGUAGGUGAACCUGCGGAAGGAUCAUUCAUAAUAAAGUGUUUUAUGGCACUUUUUAAAAAUCCAUAUCCGCCUCGUGUGCAAUGUUAGAUCUCGUCAAUCUUGGCGAGAUUUUUAUACAUCAACUCAUUCUUUAACUAAUUUGUCUGAAAAAUAUUAUGAAUACUUAAUUCAAAAUACAACUUUCAACAACGGAUCUCUUGGCUCUC
rnacentral:misc_RNA from 1 species